CGUUAGAAGUACGCAUCUCUUCAUACGCGCUUCGCCCGAGCGAGCCUUUCUUCCCAAGCAAGCCCUAGAUAGUCACCGAGCCAUCGUCUCUAAUUCACCCCUCCUCUAAUCGCUAGUUAAAACCUAGAAUUUGAUGACUGCUUUCAUGGACACAAUUUUUGUUUGUGGCCUCUCUCGCUUUCUCUCGAUUUCUCGUAUUACGAUCCUCUCAUCUCCAUCUUCCUCAUCAUCGGACAACUCGUUACCGGCUCAUCUCUAUCCUCCUCAUCGUCGGACAACAUGAUGCAGUCGUUCUCUCUCCCUGCCGGUAACGAGGGGCGAUGCGAACGAUUGGCUCCAUAAAUUCUCUGGUUCAUGCAGCAUCUCCUAGUUGACGAUCAUCCGAGCCUUGUACCCCUCCGAAGCAGGCGAUGGUUUAACUGUACGUCUUCGAUCACCGGAUUCUUUCUCUUUUCCGACAAAUACAAUGUAUAAUCUGAAAGACUUGAUUGAAUAAUAUGAUGAAUUGAGGAAACUUCUAUUGCCCAUAUUUUAAUUUUCAAAAUAGUUCUUGAUGCUCAUGGGUACAAGGAAUCAGGCCCUCUGCACGCACAUUGAAAGGCGGAUACUGAUCAAGGAAAUUUCGGCUCAAUCCAAGAACGAAGUUGACCAAAUUUGAGUGGUUGGGCUUUAGGUUCAGAAGAGACAGAUAAAUCAUGGAGCAUAUUCAAUUAGGACAUGGAGAUGAGGAGAUCAAAUGGCCAUUUAAUUCAGUAUAGCUGAAGGAGGAUUUCGAGUCGGCCUUUAGGAACAUUGUGCAUAAUGAACCCAUGUGGGCUGAAGAUGAUAAAGGACUUUUUGAAGUUGGCGAACCCGUGCAACUCGUAGGAGCUCCAUAGGGCAUAGGUAUGUUCCUAACUUUCUUUUGCUUUUAUCCUUUCGGAAUGUGUGCAUGUAGCUGAUUGUUUUAGGUUCAUUUCUUAUUAACAUUCUCUCCAUCCCCAAUUGGCUUAUUAGUAUUUCUCUCUUUAGGAUUUGAAUCAUUACAAGGUUCGAGUAAUGACUAAAAAAAAGAAUACCAUUAAUCAAAACAAAGAACCUCUCAAAAUCCCCAAAAAUAGAGUGCAUUUUAAACUCCUCUUGCUCUAAGAUAUCUAUUAGUAACUCUCUAAAAGGGUUUUAAGGCCUGAAUGUAACUAAUUUUUUCUUGGGCA